rnacentral:rRNA from 1 species
GAUGAACGCUGGCGGCGUGCCUAAUACAUGCAAGUCGAGCGAACAGACGAGGAGCUUGCUCCUCUGACGUUAGCGGCGGACGGGUGAGUAACACGUGGAUAACCUACCUAUAAGACUGGGAUAACUUCGGGAAACCGGAGCUAAUACCGGAUAAUAUAUUGAACCGCAUGGUUCAAUAGUGAAAGACGGUUUUGCUGUCACUUAUAGAUGGAUCCGCGCCGCAUUAGCUAGUUGGUAAGGUAACGGCUUACCAAGGCGACGAUGCGUAGCCGGCCUGAGAGGGUGAUCGGCCACACUGGAACUGAGACACGGUCCAGACUCCUACGGGAGGCAGCAGUAGGGAAUCUUCCGCAAUGGGCGAAAGCGUGACGGAGCAACGCCGCGUGAGUGAUGAAGGUCUUCGGAUCGUAAAACUCUGUUAUUAGGGAAGAACAAAUGUGUAAGUAACUAUGCACGUCUUGACGGUACCUAAUCAGAAAGCCACGGCUAACUACGUG